GGGCAUGUAGCGCAGUGGUAGCGCGUCCGCUUUGCAUAGGGGGUCGACCACUUGUAAAAAUGCGGAAGGUCUAGGGUUCGAUCCCCUACUUGUCCA